AGCGAACGCUGGCGGCAGGCCUAACACAUGCAAGUCGAACGAACCUUUCGGGGUUAGUGGCGUACGGGUGAGUAACACGUGGGAACGUGCCUUUAGGUUCGGAAUAACUCAGGGAAACUUGUGCUAAUACCGAAUGUGCCCUUCGGGGGAAAGAUUUAUCGCCUUUAGAGCGGCCCGCGUCUGAUUAGCUAGUUGUUUGAGGUAAUGGCUCACCAAGGCGACGAUCAGUAGCUGGUCUGAGAGGAUGAUCAGACACAUUGGGACUGAGACACGGCACAAAAUCCUACGGGAGGCAGGAGUGGGGAAUCUUGCGCAAUGGGCGAAAGCCUGACGCAGCCAUGACGCGUGAAUGAUGAAGGUCUUAGGAUUGUAAAAUUCUUUCACCGGGGACGAUAAUGACGGUACCCGGAGAAGAAGCCCCGGCUAACUUCGUG
rnacentral:rRNA from 1 species